rnacentral:snRNA from 1 species
CAAUAGAAAAAGGAACCAAGCCAC